GGGUUAGUGGUCUAGUGGUAUGAUUCUCGCUUCGGGUGCGAGAGGUCUCCGGGGUUCGAUUCCCCGCUAACCCC
rnacentral:tRNA from 1 species